UCCACCACCACCAUACUACUACCACUCUCCUCCUCCUCCAGUCAAAUCACCACCGCCACCGUACUACUACCACUCCCCGCCUCCUCCGGUGAAAUCCCCACCACCACCAUAUUACUACCACUCACCACCUCCACCGGUGAAAUCUCCACCACCACCAUACUAUUACCACUCACCACCUCCUCCGGUGAAGUCUCCUCCACCACCAUACUACUAUCACUCUCCACCACCACCGGUGAAAUCUCCUCCUCCUUACUAUUAUCAUUCUCCACCUCCUCCGGUGAAAUCUCCUCCACCACCGUACUACUACCAUUCUCCACCUCCUCCAGUCAAGUCUCCACCACCACCGUACUACUAUCAUUCACCACCUCCUCCGGUGAAAUCUCCACCACCACCAUACUAUUACCACUCACCACCCCCACCUGUGAAAUCUCCUCCUCCACCAUACUACUAUCACUCACCUCCUCCUCCGGUGAAAUCUCCACCACCACCAUACUAUUACCAUUCACCACCCCCUCCAGUCAAAUCUCCUCCUCCACCAUACUACUACCACUCACCACCUCCUCCAGUGAAAUCUCCACCACCACCAUACUAUUACAACUCUCCACCACCACCGGUGAAAUCUCCUCCACCUCCAGUCUACAUCUACGCUUCUCCCCCACCUCCCACCCAUUACUAGGCUCAUCAAAUUCAACCAAAUUUCCCCAUUAUUCAAGUAAGUCCCCACGGUCCAAAACGUUCAAGUUACUCUUUAUCACCCACUUCAAUAUUACUUUGUCCUAAAAUCUCAGUUUCUUUCUUCACAGGU
rnacentral:lncRNA from 1 species